rnacentral:lncRNA from 1 species
AUAUAUAUAUAUAUAUAUAUAGAAUUGAGCUCCUAUGCUUUUAAAAGUACCAAGUUAUUGGUGCUUGUAGAUUUUUAGCCAUUGGAUUAAGAGAUAUGCGGUUAGGAUGAUGUAGGACCCCCUAGGGUUAAGUGGGUGGUUGGUUGAAUAGUAUAAUCUAAUGGUUGAAAAUGAUCCAAGGAGUAGAUCUAACGGUAAUAAACUUACAAGCAC